rnacentral:lncRNA from 1 species
AUUUUAUCUCUUUGUUUGAAAAAAAGUAGAAUUGAGAUGUAUUUAAAAAAAUUAAUGAUUGCGAUUCCCAAUCCAAGUGUUGAGAUUCCAAAUCCGAGUAUUGAGAUUUUCAAUCCAAGUGUUGAAAUUCUAAGUAUAGAAGCUUUAACUAUACAAUCUUCGAUUCCAGAUGAACAAUAUCCUUUCUUACUUAAAAUCCAUUCCAUAGAUCCAGAUUUCUCUCCAAACGUACAAGACUUGCUCCAUUCAUCGAGUGUAUUGGCAAAGAGAGCCUUGUCAACAAAGAGGUAAUAACUUUAAGCAAACUAAAAAUGUUGGUUAUUUCGAUUUGUCAUGCUACUUCCCAGAAAAGGUGCAACAGCUCCAACCGAGAUUCUAGGAGGUCCACUAUUGCAAAAGGUUAUACAAGUUAUCAGCCUAUUGUGGGAAAGCAAGGAAUAUCAAUAUUGUGAUUAUCGAUCCUCACUGAGUUGGUAAAUCCACCAGAUAUAUAUCUAAACAUUCUUUCGCUCAUCAAUCAUGUACAUUCAAUUAUUUCCAAGAAUUUACCCUACAAAUGAAAGGUUUUGACCUUACUAAACAUGAUUAGAUCAUGUCAUUGGAUAUCCGAAUUCGAAUACAGAGGUAUCCGGACAGAAUUUGACAAGCCUAAUAUGAUUGAUAUGACAUGUUUUUAUAUCCUCAACUUUUGAAUUUUAAAUUGUAAAAUUAUUAUGAAUAUCUGAAAUCGAAAAAUCUAGGGGCUCACACACACAACUCUCUAAUAUUCUUCUCAAUAACUCUCAAUCUAGGAGGUAUUUAUAGAAAACCUUCAUGGGCCUUCUGGGCCCUGUGGUCUGUUCGGCCCAUGGUCCGUCUGGACGGGCCUUGGUACCAACACCAUGUUUGAUUUGCCCAAACAGAUAUUGGAUUAUUGGAUAGGAAUAAAAUUUUAAGUCUGAAAAUGUUUUAGUUUUGAUUUUAUAGGACUUUACCUUAUAUGGAGAGAGUCCUUCUAAAAUAUGCAUUGCUAAGUGCGAUAUAUUUUAAAAUGUUAAAGUUUUGUUUUUAUAAAGUCAGAAAUCAUCCCACAUCUAUUUUACCCUAUAAGUUUUGUUUAGAUGAUAAAUGUCGUUUUCGCAGGUAUACUAACAUUCAUGAGUGUCUUCUUGAAGAUUAUUUUCUCUGUAUUCUAUUGUUGAAACUAGCUACUGUAAAUACGAAAACGAAACUCUGCAGCUAUUCAUGUUGUCUCUCU